rnacentral:rRNA from 1 species
GAUGAACGCUGGCGGCGUGCCUAAUACAUGCAAGUCGAGCGAACAGAUAAGGAGCUUGCUCCUUUGACGUUAGCGGCGGACGGGUGAGUAACACGUGGAUAACCUACCUAUAAGACUGGGAUAACUUCGGGAAACCGGAGCUAAUACCGGAUAACAUAUUGAACCGCAUGGUUCAAUAGUGAAAGGCGGCUUUGCUGUCACUUAUAGAUGGAUCCGCGCCGUAUUAGCUAGUUGGUAAGGUAGCGGCUUACCAAGGCAACGAUACGUAGCCGACCUGAGAGGGUGAUCGGCCACACUGGAACUGAGACACGGUCCAGACUCCUACGGGAGGCAGCAGUAGGGAAUCUUCCGCAAUGGGCGAAAGCCUGACGGAGCAACGCCGCGUGAGUGAUGAAGGUCUUCGGACCGUAAAACUCUGUUAUCAGGGAAGAACAAAUGUGUAAGUAACUGUGCACAUCUUGACGGUACCUGAUCAGAAAGCCACGGCUAACUACGUG